rnacentral:rRNA from 1 species
UACGUAGGGGGCUAGCGUUGUCCGGAAUCAUUGGGCGUAAAGCGCGUGUAGGCGGUCCGGUAAGUCCGUUGUGAAAGUCCAGGGCUCAACCCUGGAAUGCCGGUGGAAACUGUCAGGCUCGAGUCCGGAAGAGGCGAGUGGAAUUCCUGGUGUAGCGGUGAAAUGCGCAGAUAUCAGGAAGAACACCGAUGGCGAAGGCAGCUCUCUGGGACGGUACUGACGCUGAGACGCGAAAGCGUGGGGAGCAAACAGG